rnacentral:rRNA from 1 species
AGUGAACGCUGGCGGUAGGCCUAACACAUGCAAGUCGAACGGCAGCACAGUAAGAGCUUGCUCGUACGGGUGGCGAGUGGCGGACGGGUGAGGAAUACAUCGGAAUCUACUUUUUCGUGGGGGAUAACGUAGGGAAACUUACGCUAAUACCGCAUACGACCUACGGGUGAAAGCAGGGGAUCUUCGGACCUUGCGCGAUUGAAUGAGCCGAUGUCGGAUUAGCUAGUUGGCGGGGUAAAGGCCCACCAAGGCGACGAUCCGUAGCUGGUCUGAGAGGAUGAUCAGCCACACUGGAACUGAGACGCGGUCCAGACUCCUACGGGAGGCAGCAGUGGGGAAUAUUGGACAAUGGGCGCAAGCCUGAUCCAGCCAUACCGCGUGGGUGAAGAAGGCCUUCGGGUUGUAAAGCCCUUUUGUUGGGAAAGAAAAGCAGCAGGUUAAUACCCCGCUGUUCUGACGGUACCCAAAGAAUAAGCACCGGCUAACUUCGUG